rnacentral:rRNA from 1 species
CCUACGGGAGGCUGCAGUGAGGAAUAUUGGUCAAUGGACGAGAGUCUGAACCAGCCAAGUAGCGUGAAGGAUGACUGCCCUAUGGGUUGUAAACUUCUUUUAUAUGGGAAUAAAACAGGGUAUGCAUACCCUCUUGUAUGUACCAUAUGAAUAAGGAUCGGCUAACUCCGUGCCAGCAGCCGCGGUAAUACGGAGGAUCCGAGCGUUAUCCGGAUUUAUUGGGUUUAAAGGGAGCGUAGGUGGAGUGUUAAGUCAGUUGUGAAAGUUUGCGGCUCAACCGUAAAAUUGCAGUUGAAACUGGCAGGCUUGAGUACAGUAGAGGUGGGCGGAAUGCGUGGUGUAGCGGUGAAAUGCUUAGAUAUCACGAAGAACUCCGAUUGCGAAGGCAGCUCACUGGACUGCAACUGACACUGAUGCUCGAAAGUGUGGGUAUCAAACAGGAUUAGAUACCCCGGUAGUC